rfam:Gossypium hirsutum cultivar TM-1 chromosome 17, whole genome shotgun sequence
UGUUAAAAAUUUCAUUUAUUUGUAUUGUUAAAAUCUAACAUGGCUAACGGAAUAACCAGAUAGUGACACAUAACAUGCCACAUGUACUUCAUGUUAAUGUAUAGGGACCAGUUUUUAAUAGUAGAAGUGGACGAAAUUCUUAAUA